rnacentral:lncRNA from 9 species
UGAGGAUACAAGUUCGAUCCCUGUCCUCACUCAGUGGAUUAAGGAUCUGGCAUUGCCGUGAGCUGCAGCAUAGGUUGCAGAUGUGGCUCAGAUCCCACGCUGCUGUGGCUGUAGCAUAGGCCUCAGCUGCAGCUCCAAUUAGACCCCUAGCCUGGGAACUUCCACAUGCUGUGGGUGUGGCCCUAAAAAGAAAAAAAAAAUAAAAGAAGUGAUGCCCUUCCCUGAAUGUCUCUUGUCUCUUCUGUCUUCAGGUUCUUGGUCCUGCUGUUACCCUGAUGCCACCAUCUUCCUCCUCGACUUUCCCCAGUCCAUCUUCCAAAGAAAUGGAAUUCUAGCCUGUAUCGAUACAGCUGGCACACCAGGAAAGCCUGGUUUUCCUAGGAAAACACAACAGAAGCUGCUGCAGAUGUGGGUUCCUGAGUCCACUCUGGGACCAACUCCACAGACAUCUCUGGUGGCAGUAGGGGGACUUCUGAGAAUGCUUCAGGCCCAGACACCUUCCAGCAAGGGAUGGUGAUAGCCAGGAAAAGAGCCUGGCCUGUGCUAGAAGUACGGGAGUAUGUCCUCAGAGGCCCCAGACUGUCGAUAAAAUUUGCUGAUAACCUGGAUGAGAGCCUUUGCCUGAGCAUGAGUUACUCACGGGCUGUCCGCCUUCUGUCUGCUUCUGGAUCCUGCAGCAGCUCCUGCACAAGCUGAGCAUCUCCCCAGCUGCCACGUCAGCCUCAGCU